UACGAAGGGGGCAAGCGUUGUUCGGAAUUACUGGGCGUAAAGCGUGCGCAGGCGGUGAUGUAAGACAGAUGUGAAAUCCCCGGGCUCAACCUGGGAACUGCAUUUGUGACUGCAUCGCUGGAGUGCGGCAGAGGGGGAUGGAAUUCCGCGUGUAGCAGUGAAAUGCGUAGAUAUGCGGAGGAACACCGAUGGCGAAGGCAAUCCCCUGGGCCUGCACUGACGCUCAUGCACGAAAGCGUGGGGAGCAAACAGG
rnacentral:rRNA from 1 species